rnacentral:rRNA from 1 species
GACGAACCGUGCGAACGUUGUUCGGAAUCACUGGGCUUAAAGGGCGCGUAGGCGGCCGGGUUGGUCGUGGGUGAAAUCCCCCAGCUUAACUGGGGAAUUGCCUACGAUACUGCCUGGCUCGAGGGAGGAAGGGGCGGCCGGAACUGUCGGUGGAGCGGUGAAAUGCGUUGAUAUCCAGCGGAACUCCGGUGGCGAAGGCGGCUCGCUGGACCUUAACUGACGCUGAGGCGCGAAAGCCAGGGGAGCGAACGGG